CAGCCGUAAACUAUGCUCGCUAGGUGUCAGGGACGGUGCGACCGUUUCUGGUGCCGCAGGGAAGCCGUGAAGCGAGCCACCUGGGAAGUACGGUCGCAAGGCUGAAACUUAAAGGAAUUGGCGGGGGAGCACUACAACGGGUGGAGCCUGCGGUUUAAUUGGACUCAACGCCGGGAAGCUCACCGGAUAAGACAGCGGAAUGAUUGCCGGGCUGAAGACCCUGCAUGACCAGCUGAGAGGAGGUGCAUGGCGUAGUCGUGU
rnacentral:rRNA from 1 species